GACGAACGCUGGCGGCGUGCUUAACACAUGCAAGUCGAACGGUAAGGCCCUUCGGGGUACACGAGUGGCGAACGGGUGAGUAACACGUGGGUGAUCUGCCCUGCACUUCGGGAUAAGCCUGGGAAACUGGGUCUAAUACCGGAUAGGACCACUGCCUGCAUGGGUGGUGGUGGAAAGCUUUUGCGGUGUGGGAUGGGCCCGCGGCCUAUCAGCUUGUUGGUGGGGUGAUGGCCUACCAAGGCGACGACGGGUAGCCGGCCUGAGAGGGUGACCGGCCACACUGGGACUGAGAUACGGCCCAGACUCCUACGGGAGGCAGCAGUGGGGAAUAUUGCAUAAUGGGCGCAAGCCUGAUGCAGCGACGCCGCGUGAGGGAUGACGGCCUUCGGGUUGUAAACCUCUUUCAGCACCGACGAAGCGCAAGUGACGGUAGGUGCAGAAGAGGGACCGGCCAACUACGUGCCAGCAGCCGCAGUAA
rnacentral:rRNA from 1 species